UACGUAGGGUGCAAGCGUUAAUCGGAAUUACUGGGCGUAAAGCGUGCGCAGGCGGCUUUGCAAGACAGAUGUGAAAUCCCCGGGCUCAACCUGGGAACUGCAUUUGUGACUGCAUGGCUAGAGUGCGGCAGAGGGGGAUGGAAUUCCGCGUGUAGCAGUGAAAUGCGUAGAUAUGCGGAGGAACACCGAUGGCGAAGGCAAUCCCCUGGACCUGUACUGACGCUCAUGCACGAAAGCGUGGGGAGCAAACAGG
rnacentral:rRNA from 1 species